GAUGAACGCUGGCGGCGUGCCUAAUACAUGCAAGUCGAGCGAAUGGAUUAAGAGCUUGCUCUUAUGAAGUUAGCGGCGGACGGGUGAGUAACACGUGGGUAACCUGCCCAUAAGACUGGGAUAACUCCGGGAAACCGGGGCUAAUACCGGAUAACAUUUUGAACCGCAUGGUUCGAAAUUGAAAGGCGGCUUCGGCUGUCACUUAUGGAUUGACCCGGGUCGCAUUAGCUAGUUGGUGAGGUAACGGCUCACCAAGGCAAUGAUGCGUAGCCGACCUGAGAGGGUGAUCGGCCACACUGGGACUGAGACACGGCCCAGACUCCUACGGGAGGCAGCAGUAGGGAAUCUUCCGCAAUGGACGAAAGUCUGACGGAGCAACGCCGCGUGAGUGAUGAAGGCUUUCGGGUCGUAAAACUCUGUUGUUAGGGAAGAACAAGUGCUAGUUGAAUAAGCUGGCACCUUGACGGUACCUAACCAGAAAGCCACGGCUAACUACGUGCCAGCAGCCGCCGUAA
rnacentral:rRNA from 1 species